AGUGUCAAGGGAUAGGAAUCGAACCCACGACCUUCCGCUUACCGGGCAGAUGCCAUGACCACUAGGCCACAUGACC
rnacentral:tRNA from 1 species